GCCCACAUAGCACAGGGGUAGUGCACACCCUUGGUAAGGGUGAGGUCGUGAGUUCAAGUCUCACUGUGGGCU
rnacentral:tRNA from 1 species